rnacentral:rRNA from 1 species
CCAGGACGCCAGUUUUGGCGGAGCCAUCCUUGGGAUACCACCCUUGUAGUACUGGGACUCUAACCAUAGGCCAUGAAUCUGGUCUUGGGACACUGUCAGGGGGGCAGUUUGACUGGGGCGGUCGCCUCCCAAAAGGUAACGGAGGCGCUCAAAGGUUCUCUCAGUACGGUCGGAAAUCGUACGUAGAGUGUAAAGGCAAAAGAGAGCUUGAUUGCAAGACAUACAGGUCGAGCAAGGAUGAAAAUCGGACUUAGUGAUCCGGUGGUUCUGCGUGGAAGGGCCAUCGCUCAACGGAUAAAAGCUACCCUGGGGAUAACAGGCUUA